rfam:Schistosoma rodhaini strain Burundi genome assembly, scaffold: SROB_scaffold0000798
AGCUUUCUGAAUCCGUGCAGAGAUUUCGUCAGAAACCAAAACAUUUGGGCUGGUCAGACUACCAAGAUAAGUGAAGUU